GACAGAGGUGCCAAGCGUUAGGCGGAAUCACUGGGCUUAAAGCGUGUGUAGGCGGGUCCGUCAGUACCUUGUGAAAUCCCACGGCUCAACCGUGGAACUGCUUGGUAUACUGGCGAUCUUGAGCCACCUAGGGGCGAGCGGAACAAAUGGUGGAGCGGUGAAAUGCGUAGAUAUCAUUUGGAACGCCAACGGUGAAAACAGCUCGCUGGGGGUGUGCUGACGCUGAGACACGAAAGCCAGGGGGGCGAACGGG
rnacentral:rRNA from 1 species